UACGAAGGUCCCGAGCGUUGUUCGGAAUUACUGGGCGUAAAGCGUGCGCAGGCGGUUUUGUAAGACAGAUGUGAAAUCCCCGGGCUCAACCUGGGACCUGCAUUUGUGACUGCAAGGCUAGAGUACGGUAGAGGGGGAUGGAAUUCCGCGUGUAGCAGUGAAAUGCGUAGAUAUGCGGAGGAACACCGAUGGCGAAGGCAAUCCCCUGGACCUGUACUGACGCUCAUGCACGAAAGCGUGGGGAGCAAACAGG
rnacentral:rRNA from 1 species